GAGUAAUGUCUGGGAAACUGCCUGAUGGAGGGGGAUAACUACUGGAAACGGUAGCUAAUACCGCAUAACGUCGCAAGACCAAAGAGGGGGACCUUCGGGCCUCUUGCCAUCGGAUGUGCCCAGAUGGGAUUAGCUAGUAGGUGGGGUAACGGCUCACCUAGGCGACGAUCCCUAGCUGGUCUGAGAGGAUGACCAGCCACACUGGAACUGAGACACGGUCCAGACUCCUACGGGAGGCAGCAGUGGGGAAUAUUGCACAAUGGG
rnacentral:rRNA from 1 species